UUUUUUUUUUUUUAAAUUGGUCUUUUAAAAAAAAACAAAACAAAACAAGCCUGGCUGUGGGGUGGAUGUGGCGUGGAGACCACUGUCUGUCCACACCCAGCUCUUUAUAAUCCCGGUUCCUGUGCAGAUGACUUUCAGUGAAGGGUCUAAAAUUCCACCCUAUUGGUAAGCUAAGGAGUUAACCGCCAAGUUCAGAAGACCUAAGACUCCAGGCUCAGACACAAAAGGCUCCAUCGCACAUUGCACGGCAAACAGCACCCAGUGCAUCUGGACCAGGGCGCCUCGCCCCAGCGCCACCCUGGACGGUGGGCUGGAGCAGCCCAGUGGGUGUGACUCACAGCCGAGGACCACCGAGCUUAGGACUCUAAAUCUUUAUCAAACACCUCUACCUGAACUUUGUCCUGGAGGAAGAUACGGCUGCCCUCGACAGCCCACACCGCUGCCCCUCUGCUCCUGCAGGGGACAGACCAGCAUCUCUCGGAGAGAGAGUCAGACACAAAAUCUGUUCCCAAGCCACAAGCGCCCGUGGAACACCGUCUCCCAGCCAUGACAGACAGAAGAAGACACCAGCGCUGACCUAAUUAUCUGAAGCUUCUUGCUAUGCACUAAUCAAGGAGACUUACACUUUUUUUAAAAUGUGUGCAUAAAAAAAACAGCUGGCAGAGUUCCCAUUGUGUCACUAGAUUCCGACUGGUAUCCAUGAGGAUGCGGGAUCAAUCCCUGGCCUUGCUUAGUGGGUCAAGGAUCUGGCGUGGUCGUGAGCUGUGAGUAGAUCAUGGAUGCGGCUCAGAUCCUAAGAUGCUAUGACUGUGGUGUAGGCCAAAAGCUGUAGCUCUGAUUCAACCCCUAGCCUGGGACCUUCCAUAAGCUUCGGGUGUGACCCUAAAAAGCAAAAAACAAACAAAAAAACAGCUGGCAAUUUCAAGGCUUAAAACUGAAUGCCGCUGGGAUGCAAAACUUACAUGUGUGACAUCCGACACAUCGUGUCUGUGCAAAAGGUGCCUAGUUAAAACCAGAAACCAGUUUGAAAAUUUGAAUUAAAUGCACACUCCACAAAAAAAUAACUGGUGAAAGGAGGAAAAAUCCUUACGUGUAGAUACAAACGUUUCUUGACAGAUGUAAAUGAAAACUAAUAUGGUGACAUUUUUCAAAUUAGCCAUUGGAAAACAUUACGUGCCUGCUUCUUUUGGGUUUGUGGGGGGCGUUUUGGUUUUGUUGUUUUUUUUUUUUAAACUGCCUAAGCAUUUUUCAGUUAUGUUGGCCUCAGAAAGUAUUUAUGAAAAGAAUAAUAAAUAAUUAAUUCAACUGGCUAGGAGCUGGAACUCCUCUCUGCCUCGACAAUAUACAUUGAAAUGCUGUUUAAAUUAUAAGAGCAAAUUGAUUCAAAAGGCUUCCAUUAGUGAGCUGGCAAACAGGUCUGAAGCCGGCUAAUAAAUUUUAGAUAAAGACAGUGCCUUUGAUGAGGAUGGCAACGCCGGAGUGCUGUUCUCGAGCCACCAGUGUGUUAAACAAGUGGCUAAAGUCUCGCCUCCUCCCCGUCUCAUAAGUCACUGCAUUAACCAUCAGCAGAGUCGGUCUCGGCGCCUGCCGUGAGCCUGGCAACUGCUUACAGAGCUGGGAGGCGACGGGCGAUCCGGGUUUCCAAUUUCAUGUCCCUUCCCACCACGCUAGUUUUUGGGGUUUUUUUUUGGUUGUUCCCCCCGCCUCUCCAUUUUUGGCCACCCCAUGGCACAUGGAGCUCCCAAGCAGGGAUCAGAUCUGAGCUGCAAUCUCGACCUAAGCUGCAGCUGCUGGGUCCUUAACUCACUGUGCCGGGCCAGGGGUUAAACCUGAGUCCCAGGAUGCCCCCAGUCCUGCUGCACCACAGUGGGAGCUCCCCACCACUCUGUUCUAACAGGUUUCACGGUAUAUUCAUCAAGGAGAAUUAGGCCCACCUGUGACAUAAAAAGUUCCACCUAUGCUGUGCCUUGCAGCCUAUCUAUGAGGAAAAAUUCUUAAUAAAAAUCAAGAAAUUAUGUGUAAAGGCCUUUGUUCCAUUCAGACAUGUAUCCUAUAAGCAGGUGGCAACGUGCCACUCGAGAUCACGGAAUAUUACACAGCUACUGAAAAGAGCAGGGGCAUUUACCAGCCUGGAAGGGAGACACCCACCAUCUUUGCCUUAGGGAGGCUGGAGCCGGCACCCACUUACUUUAGAAAAAGUCAACAAAGCCUCACUCGUGUGUGUUACACUCAUUACUGUCAGGGAAAAUGUGCAAGAAGUCGCCCCUGUGGCGCAUCUGGAUCGGCAGCAUCUGAGCAGCACCUGGACGCAGGUUCAAUCCCCAGCCCAAAACUCUGGGUGAAAGGAUCCGGUGUUGCCACAGCUGCAGCUCGGCCCUGAUCCCUGGCAGGGAUCUCCAUGUGCUGCAGGGCAGCCAAACAAGAAAAGAACAAAAAAAAAAAAGAUGUGUAAGAACAUACAAACUAUUAAUCAAGGUUACCUGGGGCAGGAGGUGGUGGUGAAGGGGGAAUAAGGAGCAAAAGAGGAGAGUUUAGUGCUCAAACGAGCAGGCGUCUAAUAUCAAAACAGUCAACAGAAAGGGUUUUACGGCUGGCACAUUAUCCUGAAAUGGGCAAGCCGUUUUUUCUUUUAGUUUCCUUCUACCUGGCCCAUUUGGGGAAGGCUGUCAAGGACCACUCUGCCCUUUCCUUCCAUCCGCCUUUCCACCCAGCCAACCAACAGCCAGUCCUAGGAAGGGGCGGGCUAAGAGGAUACGGGUCGGGAGUCAGCUGGAUCUGGAGGAGGAUGGGAAGGAUGCGGACGAUGCGGGCUCCACUCACGGCUCGCUGUGCGGCUCCGGGCCACGCCCUCCAUGUCUUUCAAGUGCACAGCGACGGCAGGAACAACGCUGAGUAUAUGGAUAAGGAGCCUGGGUCAGCCUGAUCCACGUUCUCUCUUUGCCACUGCGCACCUUCAGAUCUCGGCAUGGCUAGCUCUGGGCACAGUAAACCACGCUUGGCUGUAACGGUGCCAAGUGUUCUGAUAACACCAAAACACAGUACAGGGACUUGAUUACCAAGGAAUCCAAGUCUAACCCUCUUCAGGUUGAACCACUUGCCAAUGGCAGGAAAUGGCUAGGUUUUUUGUUUGGUUUUUGUCUUUUCAGGGCCACACCUGUGGCAUAUGGAGGUUCCCAGGCUAGGGGAAAAAAAAAAAAAAAAAAAAAAAAAAAAAAGAACUUGCAUUUGUCGCAGGCUUAUGACAGACCCAGGAGUGUUCACAGUAGCGAAUCCAGCCACAUUAGCUCAGUGAGUCCUCAGACAACCCCGCGCAGGGGCUACUCGUACUCCCUUUGGACUGAUGAGCAACCCCCAGUUCAGAAAGACCCAGGAGCUCGCCUAAGUCUCUGCCAGUGAGUGCAGAGCCAGGUCUGAUGCCAGCUCCAAUGAGUCUGCUGGCAACAGAUAUGCGCUCCCGACCCCCGCCCCCGGCCUUAGAGAAAAGCAACAGGAGAGGGAGAGAACCAAGGCAGAAGAGGAGGCUCCAGGAGGGGUCACCAAACCUUCUGGAAAGGCCCAGACAGGAAGUAUUUUACAGGCUUUAUGGGCAUGGUCUCUGUUCCAACUACUAGCCCUGCCACCCCAGGGCAAAGACAGCCACAGGAACAUAUAAACCAAGGAGCACGGGGCUGCGUUCCAAGCAAACUCUAGUUAUGGACACAGGACUCUGAUUUCCAUACAAUUUCCGUGAGCCACAAAACACGACAGGCCGACCUCGCAUUCUCAAUUCGCUGUGUUGUGCUCUGACGAUACCUCCCUCUACAAAUCUAACGUUUGGGGUGCCACUUUCCCAACGGCAUUGCUUCUAAAUUAGCGCUGUUUUUUCAGUUUGAUUUUUUUUUAGACGUAAUGCUAUUUGCACAGAGAAUAGACGGCAGGAGAGUGUAAAUAUCGCUUUGAUACACACUGGGAACCCCCCAAAUUCCUGUGACUCGACUCACCGUGGAGCUCAGGAGCUGAACCUGCAGGAUCUCCAAGGUCUGCCUGUACGCUUGAUUUUUUUCAGACAUACACAAAUGUAGAAAGCCCUUCUCAGCUCCAGGGCUGGACAAAAACACAUGGCGAGCCAGAUGCGGCCGACGAGCCGUGCUUCGCAGACCCUUUCCAGCAGAGCCAACGGGACUGCGCUGCAGCAUCAGACAGACCUGAGGCUGAGCAAUGUAACCCAAGGCCAGUUCCUUAACAGCUCCUACACCUGUCUCCAGGUUGGGCGGGGGGGGGGGGGGGGGAAUAAAGCAUCCACCCCAAGAUUUUAUCCCAAGAAGUUAACUGAAAUGAUGCAGAAUGAGACCAGAAUUAUCCUGGACACGGGACAGACAAUCCAUUCGGGUGUCCAUUCGCUGCACAGAUCACUGCUCGAGUCCCUGUUCUGGGCCAGGAACUAUUUUCCAAGCUGAAGAUGCAGCUGCAAAGAAAUCAAAAACCAGACAAGACGUUCUGCCCUCAAGGAGCUGGUAUUCCAGCUCCGCGGGUGUCCGGAGGAAAGCGGCACGCAGAGACCAGCUCAGGAAAACGAGUCAGCAAACAGGCUACUGCUCUGCCGUCAAUCAAAUCUUCCGAGUCACCCACCUGCAACGCAGCAGGGGGAACGCCCGGCACAGGAGGACACCGAGAAGGCCGCAGAGGGCAGAGCGCACGCUGGCCUGGGGGACACAGCAGUAGCUACGCCCCUCGCGAUCCUGGACGUGUGACUACAAGCAGCAGUUAAUGACGAGGAGGGAAGAGGAAGAGUCCACGGCGGCACCUGUGCUCCUGGCCAAGAGCAACCCUGCACCGAACCAAAGCCCCAGCUCGUCUCAAGCCCCGCGUGUCCACAGGAGUCCCUCUGCUUACACUGAAGAGAUGGGAGAAUUAAGGGGAACACACUCAACAGAAAAAGCGGUCAUCUCCUGAGCAUGGCUCGAGAAGGCGUCACAUCUCCACGUGCGUAAGAAUAAAACUUCUUAACUCAUCUCUCGGCACCCUGAUGUGGGGGCCCCAAACAGCCUCUCAGGCUGGUCACCAGGAGAAAAGUCGCCUUGUGGGCUGUAACUCACCUUCUCCCAAGUGGGUCCCUGGGGCCCUCCAUGGUGACCAGCAAAUUCAUGCUAAAUCUCACUUCAGAAUGAUGGAGACCCAACAAGUGACCUCCGGUAUAGCAUCCACAGCUACGCUCAGGGCGGAUGGCCAGAAACAAGCCACCCGGAGAAAAACGUGUACCUCACCGCUCCGCGGCAAAAAGCUUCCACAGCCGAACCCGAACUUCUCUGCUGCAGUAAAGGAAAGGGUGUGAGAUGGCAAAACGGCCCGAUCUUCAAAGGAUGAAAUACAGCGAGGCUGUGUCCACUCUGCCAGCCCCGGACAGCACGCUCGCCAGGCCAUCUCACGGGGCCUCUAGAGCCCGGGAGCCGGCAGAUGGAGGGGGGAGGAAGGUGGGCAGUGAUCCUUCUGCUUCCUCCAGAUGACGGGCAGGAACGCACCAAGUGAGCCCUGGCUCGGGCAUUCGCAUCAAUAAUUACAAGACUGAACAAGAUCAUCUGUAUUUGAGCAGAACAAAAUAGCCAGCCUUUUCCUCCAUGUAGAGCCCCUAUCACUUGGCCUCUGCAUGGCGGAGAAAACCUCACAGUAAGGAACAAACUGGCUGAAGUCAAGGAGGAUGCAUUAGGAGCCGUUUAAUUACCCCUGGGCUCUAAUGGACCUCUGCUGUUAUAACCUCUUCUGCGUCCUCACCUUCUCUUCCACCAGCAGCCUCCCCACUCACCCCUGGGCAACCUGCCCUCGUGCCCUUCUGGGGAGCCUGACCCCACCUGCUGAACCAAGAGGUGAGCGGAGAGCCGGGCGGGACCCAUCAGAAUGACUGCCAUGCCUGGUUCAGAGACAGGCUUAUCAAUCAGGUCGGUCCACUCUGAGCGAGGCCUCGGCACCCACUGGAGGUUUGGGGAGGGAAGAACCACUCUUGUCCAAGGUCACCGAGUGAAUGGGAGGUAAACCCGUAACUGCUGGCUUCCUACAAUGCGGAAACGGCGCCCAAGGAGGGCCAGCAUCCGGGAAACACAGCCAAGGGAUGGAAAGAGACCGAAGCCUGGCAAAAAAGAAAGACCCUGGGGUCAGCCAGGCUCAGACUGGUUUUCGUGGUGCUGCUUCGAUAGCUUCUCAGAAGCCCCCAGAGAUUGAUGCAAAUAGAUUCCUACAAACACUGCACCGACUCUCACGUGGACAUGUCCGGAUGUCUACUAGGAGUUCCUCUUAGCCUGCCACCUCCCCACAGCCAGACUGGCCUCGCAUGGCAAGCCCACGACUCUGCAGCCCCGGGAGCUCUUCCCGCAAAGCAUCUGCAGGGCAGACACACAGUGUGUCUCUGAUUCCAAUUAUCACCUCUCCUGACGCCCUGCCCCAUUCCCUUCGGCUCGCUCGAUGCUUUCGCUGCCUGAUACCCUGGUGAAGGGGGUGUGUACCUUACUGGCCAAGAUGGGAAGCAUCCUGGGGACACGGCUGGUGUCCAGAGGCAGCCAACUCAGUGGCAGAACCUGCACCCACUAACGUCUCUGAAUCCCCAGGAUACGGCCCCGGGGAUUCAAUCAAAGACUGAAAGAAUGAAUGAAUGAGAUCUUCUCAAACAGACUGCAGGCCCCUUGAAAGCAAAGGCGGUCAUCUAUAGCCCUGAAUCUUCCAGCAGGGACGGGCAGAAGACUCUGGAGGUACAAUGCUCAAACCUAUUUGCUGAACGGAGACAGAGGCCCCCUCACCAGUAAAAAGCGCUUCCAAGCUCACUUACCAACAACUGGUACUGCUGCUCACUUACGGGGUGGGGGGGUUGGAGAUUCUCUAUUUCUUGAUUUCUUAAAGCCCUAAUCAGAUACAAUGAGGCCCUGGGCUCUACUGGGUCUUCCAAUUUGCAUUAUUGAUUGAAAAUAUAACUUACACAGGCAAAAUCUGAAUGCGAAUGAUCAGAAUUGGUGGGGACACAGGUGAGGCAUUGCAGCUGUGAUUCUCUGCGACAUGAACGUGAGAAUGCACACAUGUUAUAGUAACUGCAGUACCACAACUGGAGCAUCAGACUGACAUCUGAGUGUUGUGGCUUCCAGAGUCUCCCUAAUACGCCAGCGUGCACUUUUAAUCACAGAUUCUUUCUAGAGGUAGAAGGCCCAAUGAAUGCAACUGUGAGAGUCCCUGUUCUGGUUCAGCGGGUUAAGAACCUGACUAGUAUCCAUGAGAAUGCGGGUUUGAUCCCUGGCCUUGCUCAGUGGGUUAAGGAUCUGGCUUUGCUGCAAGCUGCAGCAUAGGUCACAGUUGCGGUGGCACUGGUGUAGGCCAGCAGCUGCAGCUCCAAUUCAACCCCUAGCCUGGCACUUCCAUAUGCUGCAUGAAUAGCCCUGAAAAGACAAACCAACCAACCAAAUGAAUGCAACUGUGCAUGCAAAAAUACACAGGUAGUUUAAUGCAAAUAAAAGGCAAAACUAAAGAGAAAAAAAAUCACUGCCUAAGGGGAAGAGAAUUUGGGUGUCUUUCCUUUUAUUCUUUCUCUUUCAUACAGUUAGGACAACACCUUUUAAAUAUGAAGCGCUCUCUCUCCUAUCUCAGCCAUACAUUGCUGGCUGCCAAGCCUCUUGGGAGACAUCAUUAAUCGCACCGUAAGCGGUGGCAAAGAUCAGGAUGCACCUCGGCAAGUAUCACGACGUGGACAGCCUGGAAGCAGAGCCAAAGGAAUCUGAAAAGAGCUAAAUUCGAUGUUCUCAAGGGUGUGAACCCCACAACAAAGACUCCUAGAGCCAAGAAGGUAGCCAGGAACUUCCUGAGACAUCCUUAUGCAUGAUCCUUAGGGCUGGGUUCUCCACAACCACUUUCGCUGCCCUGGGACGCGGAGGUUGUUGGACCAUGGGCACAAGGACAAGAACUACUCAGGUGGCGCCACAGACCAAAGGCAGCCCAGAGACUCCAAAAGGACAAAGUGAUGUCACUUCUUAGAAUACCAUAUGGAUAUACCGGGUGGGAAUAAGGGUGGAGCUGGUUGGAAAGGUGGCCACCUUGGCAUUUUGACUUCCAAGGAGUGAUGCAGAAUACAAACCUCACUUUAAAUU
rnacentral:lncRNA from 1 species